CUUUGCACGGCAUUCCUGGCUAACAUCUACAAUGGGAGGUGUAGAGAAAGAAUUUCAUGCCUCAUGAAAGACACUAUGGCCUGACGUCAGCAGCUAGCUAUUUGGAUACUUCGUCACAGGCGGUGUGACCUUUCGGAGUUGUGAGUGAUAAUGAGCCAGGUUUUCCAGUGACUGGCUGGCUUACUCGGAGGUUCUAUGAACUCCUUCAGGGGGACUGCUGAAGGUCACCAUGGCUGCAGAGCAUAAACAGCUUCCUUUUGACUUGCACAAGUUCCCGUCAGCUUCGAGAAAACAAACACCCGAGACACAGAGUGACUUUCGUCUGGACCACUGUCCGAUGAAGAAACUCAGGGCACAGUUCUCAAACCCCUAGGUCAAUUAGAAAACGGAGGAUUCUGUAUAUUGCCACUAAUAAGCAUUCAGCAAACUUCCUAUGGGCCAGAUAAGUCAAUGGAAGUUUCCAUAAUAAACACAUGGUCACCACAUA
rnacentral:lncRNA from 1 species